rnacentral:rRNA from 1 species
AUACAGAGAGUGCAAGCGUUAAUCGGAAUUACUGGGCGUAAAGCGCGCGUAGGUGGAUGUUUUAGUCGGAUGUGAAAGCCCUGGGCUUAACCUAGGAACUGCACCCGAUACUGAGCAUCUAGAGUAUGGUAGAGGGAAGUGGAAUUUCCGGUGUAGAGGUGAAAUGCGUAGAUAUCCGGAGGAACAUCAGUGGCGAAGGCGACUUGCUGGACUAAUACUGACGCUGAGGAGCGAAAGCGUGGGGAGCAAACGGGAUUAGAAACCCGAGUAGUCC